UACGUAGGGGGCAAGCGUUGUCCGGAUUUAUUGGGCGUAAAGAGCGUGUAGGCGGCCAUGUAGGUCCGUUGUGAAAACUCGAGGCUCAACCUCGAGACGCCGAUGGAAACCAUGUGGCUAGAGUCCGGAAGAGGAGAGUGGAAUUCCUGGUGUAGCGGUGAAAUGCGCAGAUAUCAGGAAGAACACCCGUGGCGAAGGCGGCUUUCUGGGACGGUACUGACGCUGAGGUGCGAGAGCGUGGGGAGCGAACCGG
rnacentral:rRNA from 1 species